CUAAGUUUGAUGGCGACCGGCGCACGGGUGAGUAACACGUAUGCAACCUGCCCCUGUCAGGGGGACAACCCGCCGAAAGGCGGGCUAAACCCGCGUACAUGCCACCGGGGCAUCCCGGAGGCAGGAAAGGCUUCGGCCGGACAGGGAUGGGCAUGCGGCGCAUUAGGCAGUAGGCGGGGUAACGGCCCACCUAACCGACGAUGCGUAGGGGUUCUGAGAGGAAGGUCCCCCACACUGGUACUGAGACACGGACCAGACUCCUACGGGAGGCAGCAG
rnacentral:rRNA from 1 species